rnacentral:lncRNA from 1 species
AUCUUUUUCAAAUCAUUUAGCCUUAAUAGUCCUGACGAAGAUUUUGUACUCUUCAAGUCAGAAUAUUCAUUCAAACAGAGUAUUUAACAAAUUGGUGAAGUUUCUAUAUUCUUCAAACCAAUGCACAAUCUGAUUUGUUCGUGAAGUUCUUAUAUUCUUCAAACCAAAGGACUAAAAAAAUCCAGAAGAUUUUAGUCUCCAAAAGUCAAACACAAU